CAAGAUUAUAUUUACAUGUGUUUAGUUCAGUGAAGUAGUUGUCUCAGGUGCUUGUUUAGAUCUAACAUCUUCAAGGAAUGUCAGGAAGCCUAGAGGCUGAAGAAAGAUGCAGAAUAUUUUCUAAAUGUCUGGCAAUGAGGAAAAUCCGUCAGUAUUUUCCUUGUGAUUAACUUGUUGAUGGAUUUUCUUUUAAAGAAGUCAAGUAAAGAGAAACUAUCCUAAGGGAGCGGGAACAAAGGCGGGACUAUUCUGACUCACUCACCUCUGUGUUGAUGGUGCCCUUUGGCGUCAGUUUCAAAGUAAUUCAUUCACAUCUGCUCGGCAAGUACACAUUGCAUGCUCAUUAAUUCCAGGUGCUGUUAGGGUUCCCGGGGAUGCAGCAGUAAAGAAAGCAGAGUUCCUGACCUCAUGGAGCAAUACUUGCAUGUGGGAGGAGACAGAUGUGGCAAAUAAGUAAAUAUAUAGCACAUCAGCGGUGAUAAGACUUGGGAGAGGGAUCUGGACUGAAGUGGAGGAAUCCAGUACAAGUAGUGGAGCCGUCUGAAAUCUUGAGAUGGGGUCUUGCUCUGUCAUCCACGCUGGAGUGCAG
rnacentral:lncRNA from 1 species